CGCGAGAAGGCCCCACCACCUACCGACAGCCUCUGCUUGGUCUUCAAAUGCCUCAUCUUCUUUUACUGUACAUUGCAUUCUUAUCUUCACUUUUGCUUUUCAAUUUCACACGUCUCCUCUGCCUUUGAACGACACCCCCUUCCUCACUCUUCUCUUUCAUUUUCCUGCGUUUCCUUUUGAUUCUUUUGGGUUCGGUCGAUGAAGCCUGCACGCUUCCCUUAUCACCACCGACAGCCUUCUGCCCCAUUUCCCCACCGAUUCCUCUCUGCCACGUCCGAGUUUCCUCCAAGCUCGGUCGACCGAAGAAGCGCCCCCCAGCCGUGUUGACUCCCCUGCCAGCGAAGCUCACCUUCGUUUGUCUCCAUCCUCUGAGCAGCCCCGCACCUUCGGUCCCUCAUCUCUGCCUCCACCGAACACCUCUCAUCUCCUGCCAUUGUUCGCGCCUGCCCACCUCACGCCCACGCGUCCACAGCUUCUACCUUUGAAGUCACCGUUGCCGAUUUGUUGACCCCGAGUCUCCUCGGCCAACCGUUCGCGUGAGACUUCCAUGGAGCAGCUCCCAUCUUCACUCGUGGAUCAGCCCUGCAAUCCUUUCCGCUAGUUUGUUAAUCGUGGAUCUCCGCUCGUCCAGCGUCAAGAGACCGAAUCAGCCGCGUCUUCUCUCUCUAUCGUCCGAGGCAGUCCCUGUCCGUGUCUUCGAGCAGCCGUCUUCAGCACGUCCAUUUCAGCCCAUAAGAAGUCAGCCCAAUUCAGCAGCUCCAUUCAAGCCCACGAGCCCAAAUGAGUUCAGUCCAUCAAAAGCCCAGCGAAAUUUUGAGGCCCAAGCCCGUGAAGUCAGGCCCACCGAAUCAGUGGACUCAGCCCAGCUCGAGCAGCGAGCUUGUAGGCCGAUUUCGGCCCCGAUUUGACCCCGGUUGGCGGACCCGCUUCGGAUGGGAUUGACCCUUGUCGCCUGCUCGUCGAUUUGGUCCGAUUGGCUCGUUAAUCAAGUGAGUUUUACUCACUAAUGCUUUAUUAGUUUGCUAAAUAUGCUUAGGGGUUGGUUAGAUUUAAUUAAACGCAAUUAGGUGGUUAGAUUAGUUUAGAUCAAUUAAAUUAGAGACUUAAUGAUGCAUGUUAGGUGGUUAGAAAUAGACAUUAGCAAGUAGGCAUGCCAUGUUAUUUAUGGAACGAGUCCCGGUAAUUUUCCGGGCUCGUCUCGGCGUCCAAUCAGGCAAUACGGGCCUAAAUUGGAUUUUUAGUAUUUAUUUAUUUAUUUUUCGAAAUUAAUUAUUUAUUUAUUUAUUUUUCCGGAAAUUCAACCGGGAUGGCCGGUGACCGGAAUUUCGUACUGAUUGUCGUGGUGCAGUCCGUUUAUUUAAUUGAGCUUCAAUUUAUAUGGAAUUGAUUUAAAUUGUGAAAUUUGAGGAUUUGUCCUAAAUUGAAUGAAAUCGAAUAAUUGAUUGGUUGAUGGCCGAGUAUUGUUAUUUAGCAUCGAUAAUGCUGUAAUGAUCUGUAAAGCAGAGGGAACUGUGAAAGUGAAUUGGGGAAAUUCUCGGCUGAAACCAAUCAGGAACGAUGUAAUGAGACAUACGUGGUUCGGUGAUUAAAAGAUAUCACUGGUGAAAACGGCGCCUUAAAGAACGCACGAAUGCUGUCUAUUACAUGCAGCAGUAUGGACAUACGUGGUUCGGUGAUUAAAGGAUAUCACUGGUGAAAACGGCGCCUUAAAGAACGCACGAGUGUUGUCUAUUACAUGCAGCAGUAUGGACAUACGUGGUUCGGUGAUGGAGGAUAUCACUGGUGAAAACGGCGCCUUAAAGAACGCACGAGUGCUGUCCAUUAUACACGUCACCUUGGCGAAAAAGACGCCCGAGAGCAUUAAUGAGGCUCUGUGACUAAGUGUACUGCUGGAGAUUAUCGUGAUCGGUAAUUGGUACGUCACCUUGGCGAAAAAGACGCCCGAGAGCAUUCAUCUGGCUCUGUGACUGAGUACCCGAAUGGAGAUUAUAAAGUAUGGUGUUGAUGUGACCGAGAGGUGGUCCGAAUGACAUGUAAUCGACUAGGUCGAUUGAUCAUUGUUUUGAUCUGAUGUUGUGAAUUGGUUGAUUGAAUGGGAAUGGCCGUGAGUGGUCUUGUUGGCAUGUGAUCGACUAGAUCGAUUUGAUCAAUACUUCGAUCUGUGAUGUGAUUGCUUGGGUGCCUAUUGAAUUGUGCUAAUAUGCAGGUGAAAUCUGAGGCCAAGGUAAGUCCUCUGACUCACGUUGUGCAUAGGCAGCCAUAAGGUGUAUUAGUUUACUAAUCGGGUCUUAGGGGUAGAACUUGUUGAGACGUAGUCUCAUCCCGGUUUGGGGAAAAUAUUUCAGGACUCUGAUGAAGAACCUGAGGAGAAAGAACUCGA
rnacentral:lncRNA from 1 species